rnacentral:rRNA from 1 species
GCACGAAAGUGUGACGGGGCAAUGCCGCGUGUGGGAUGAAGCCCUUCGGGGUGUAAACUACUGUCAGGGACUACCAACAACAUGAGGAGUCCCAAAGGAAGAGCCGGCUAACUCUGUGCCAGCAGCCGCGGUAAUACAGAGGGCUCGAGCGUUAAUCGGAAUCACUGGGCUUAAAGCGUGCGUAGGCGGAUUUGAAGGCGCUUUGUGAAAUCCCUCGGCUCAACCGAGGAACUGCUUGGCGAACCACAAAUCUUGAGGCUGGUAGAGGUGGUCGGAACAAUAGGUGGAGCGGUGAAAUGCGUAGAUAUCUAUUGGAACACCGAAGGUGAAGACAGGCCACUGGGCCAGUCCUGACGCUGAGGCACGAAAGCGUGGGUAGCAAACGGGAUUAGAUACCCCGGUAGUCCACGCCGUAAACGAUGCGCACUUGGUCGAGGGGGUUGAACGCCUUCUCGGCCGUAGGAAAACUGAUUAGUGCGCCGCCUGGGGAGUACGGUCGCAAGAUUAAAACUCAAAGGAAUUGACGGGGGCUCACACAAGCGGUGGAGCAUGUGGCUUAAUUCGAAGCAACGCGAAGAACCUUAUCCUAGGCUUGACAUGCACGGAUUAACCUCCUGAAAGGGAGGCAACACUCGCAAGAGUGGAACGUGCACAGGUGCUGCAUGGCUGUCGUCAGCUCGUGCUGUGAAGUGUCGGGUUAAGUCCCUCAACGAGCGCAACCCCUGUCACUAGUUGCAAACAGGUAAUGCUGUGGACUCUAGUGAGACUGCCGGUGUCAAACCGGAGGAAGGUGGGGAUGACGUCAAGUCCUCAUGGCCCUUAUGCCUAGGGCUGCACACGUGCUACAAUGGCACCGACAGAACGAUCCGAGACCGCAAGGUGGAGGAAAUCGCUCAAAAGGUGCCCCAGUUCGGAUUGGAGGCUGCAACUCGCCUCCAUGAAGUUGGAAUCGCUAGUAAUCGCGGAUCAGCUACGCCGCGGUGAAUAUGUUCCUGAGCCUUGUACACACCGCCCGUCAAGUCAUGGAAGCCGGUAGCGCCCGAAGUCGCCUCAUUUCAGGGGUGCCCACGGCGAGGCUGGUGACUGGGACUAAGUCGUAACAAGGUAGCCGUAGGGGAACCUGCGGCUGGAUCACCUCCUUU